rnacentral:pre_miRNA from 11 species
ACCACGAGACCGUGUGACCGGUGGGCUUCCCUUUGUCAUCCUUUGCUCAGGGCUCUGAGUGGGGCAGGGACAGCAAAGGGGUGCCCAGUUGUCACCUCCCAC